CUAUGCUUUGGUAGAACUCUACCCUUACCAUGUUGUGACCUGAAUUUUAUUUGUGAAAAAAUCUGCUCAGUGACAAAUCUACGGGAGGUAUGAAGAUUCUGUUAAGAUGUCAUAUUACAACUGACAAGUACCAUACUAUUAUCUUCUUAACAUAAAUGGCAUAGCAGAAUGUAUUAUAUCAUCUUAAAGACUGCUUCUGCUGCAAUGUACUUAUGUCUGUUUUCCUUGGUUGUAGGUUCCUUGUGUUCCUGUGAUAUACGGUCUGAAGAACUCCCUGUUUAUUGAGCAACCCUCUGCGCAGGAACGCAAGUUUGCUCAGUUGGAUGAGGAGAAGCGUAUACAUAUGGAAAAAUCAGAGUUUAAGAAGCUUCAUCAGAAGGAAAGAUGUCUGUUGACGGAAACAUACCCGGAUUAGUUGCAGAGAAAAGCAAGUUUAAAAGGAACAGAGCAAAGGGCCCGAACCCACUAUCCUGCAAGAAAAAGAAACCAAAGCCCCAGCCAUCAGCUGAUCAAAAUCAGAACAUGAUUCCUUCAGGGUCCGAAGACCGAUGCUGAGGCAAAGCGAAAGAGGGUUAGGAAACGGAAGAGAAGCGUCAAAGAUAGCAAUCAAGCAGAGACAGCGAGCUGAUGGACCUACAAAAAAGUGCAAAACAAUGGUGCCAUUUUGCUGCUCUGGCCCCAAUCUGCUGCACCCAAUGCUAAGAUUAUGUGCCGAUGGUGUUUCUUCAAAUGUCAUACACAAUCCUCAGGAAAAACUUGAUUGACCAUAUGUCGUUGCAAGAGGAUUGUAGCUGGAAACUUUUGAGAAAGCAACACUAGUAGUUUGUUAAGGGCGGUUUGAAGUUGUAAAUUUCGUCCUCGCUAGUAAUCUAUAUGAAUUUAUCCAAAGCUUUUGGAUUGUAUUAUGAAGAAAGCAACCACCGAUUCCUGCAAACUUGCGGAUCGGUUC